UACGUAGGUGGCAAGCGUUGUCCGGAAUUAUUGGGCGUAAAGCGCGCGCAGGCGGUCCUUUAAGUCUGAUGUGAAAGCCCACGGCUCAACCGUGGAGGGCCAUUGGAAACUGGGGGACUUGAGUACAGAAGAGAAGAGUGGAAUUCCACGUGUAGCGGUGAAAUGCGUAGAGAUGUGGAGGAACACCAGUGGCGAAGGCGACUCUUUGGUCUGUAACCGACGCUGAGGCGCGAAAGCGUGGGGAGCAAACAGG
rnacentral:rRNA from 1 species